CCAUCCUUAGCAUGUAUAAAAGGCACAGAGUUGAAUUAACUGGGGUUGGUUUCAAACUUUGAUGUGGGCAUGAUGAGUUUUCUCCUGCUGCUGUGUCUUCUGCUAAUCUCACCAACUCAGAUUUGACAGAUUCUGGAUCAGCUUCUUCUCCCAGUCCUACCAUUACUUCAGAGUCAACAACUAUCGGAAAUACCACGGAAUCUACUACUAAAACUCCUGCUUCUACCAUCACUUCUACAACUGUAUCUUCAAUCCAACCAAAUAAUUGCCGUUUCAAGAACUACGCGAAUGUGGCCAAAUGCUGUGCAAACCCACCAAGUGCUCUUGUGGCCUUCCAAGGAUUUGAGAAGACCUGCAGGGUCACCAAAGGAGCUCUAAACGCGUUCAAUAUUUUCUCGCUCAACAAACAGCAGAGCGCUUCGAAUUCACCUGCCAACUCGACUCCUUCCAAAAUCGCCAGGUCAAAAAGGCCUUUGGCAAGAACGCUGUUCGUGUUCAAUUCAGAUAUUUUCACACAGCAAAUUAAUUCAAAUAUUUCAGUGCUUCGUCAACUGCUACUUGGAAGCCAAUGGGGCCCUGUCGGCAGCUAACGAAAUCGACGAAGUUGCGCUGACCGACCUCUUGACUGCCACGCAGACUGACGACACGUGGAUUUCAACGAUUUCGUCAGCAGUACCCGAAUGCAUUUGCACGGCUGAAGCUCUAAACGUUCCCGACUUUGUCGCGGGGAAAUUGUCAUGCUCUGGCAAAGCUUUCGUGGUGGUGCAGUGUGUUCUCCUUAAAAUGAUCAAUGUAAUUUAAAAAUUU